UCCCGAUUUCUUCCCCCUUCAUGCGCGCGAGCUCUCUUCGUCCCGAGCCUCACCAGCGCCGGCGAUUCUCCUCUCCUCUUCUCUCAGCGUCGCCGGCGCAGGGCAACCCUUGAGUGUUAAGGAGGGAAGUGGCAACCGAUCUUCCUCUCUUCUUCCUUCCUUUCUCGCGCUGAUGAACCCGACACCGACGGAGAGAUUCUCCCCCGACAAACCUAUUCUCACCAAGUCGCCUGAGGGAGAGCGCCGGAUCUCAACGGUAUCAUCCAUCUCUGGAGGACCGACCACCUUCUCGGCCUCUCGGCCAUUCCUUACGCGCGAUCGGCGGUGAUCAAGUGGCUAGGGCACGACAAGGCUAGAGCCCGACGAGGGAGGGGAGAUUCGAGCCCUAGUUGCCUCUUGUGGAUGUCCAGUGCCUUCUCGUCAUCGGAUCUUGGAUCAGGGAGGUCCACUUCACUGGAUUCCAGUUCCUCCUUCUCAUUGGUGUUGAUUGGAUGCUGAUCCUAGAGUGGAUGGACUGCCAAAGCAUAAUUUAGGAGGCAUCAGAUCAGCUUCUUGGUGGAUUCUUCGUGAGCAUAUCACUGCCCCUUCACUUCUUGCAGCUGUUGAGGUCUCGGUGGGAGGAUUAGGGAUCAAUGGAGUGGAGGCUCUUGGUGGCUGUUGGCAAGGGAUUAUGGUGCUGUGAGCUGUUGAAUAUGCUGCCAAACCUCAAGG